CAGAUAGAUUCAUGGCGAAAUAAUUUUUUACAAUAAUUACUUUAACUGUUCAAUUCAGUUUUGUCUGA
rnacentral:tRNA from 1 species